rnacentral:lncRNA from 1 species
CAUGUAUAUGUGUAUAUGUAUAUGUGUACUUGUAUAUGUGCACAUGUAUAUGUGUACUUGUAUAUGUGUACAUGUAUAUGUGUACUUAGUUGAUUUCUAUCCAAAGCAGUAAAUUGUGAUUCCUAUUAUGAAGUUAUAACCCAUAAGCAUGUUACAUUGAAUAAUCGUGUCUUCUUUACAUUUAAAACUUCAAUGCUGCUGUAGGGAUGUUUUUUCUUGUUAGAGAAGUUAAAUAUUUAAACUUUUAUUAGUCCAUCCAUACUUUUUUUAUUAUUUGAUAUCUUUUUCCCAACAAGAAACAAAAACUUUUGAUCUGAAAU